rnacentral:rRNA from 1 species
GAGUUUGAUCCUGGCUCAGAUUGAACGCUGGCGGCAGGCCUAACACAUGCAAGUCGAACGGUAACAGGAAGAAGCUUGCUUCUUUGCUGACGAGUGGCGGACGGGUGAGUAAUGUCUGGGAAACUGCCUGAUGGAGGGGGAUAACUACUGGAAACGGUAGCUAAUACCGCAUAACGUCGCAAGACCAAAGAGGGGGACCUUCGGGCCUCUUGCCAUCGGAUGUGCCCAGAUGGGAUUAGCUAGUAGGUGGGGUAACGGCUCACCUAGGCGACGAUCCCUAGCUGGUCUGAGAGGAUGACCAGCCACACUGGAACUGAGACACGGUCCAGACUCCUACGGGAGGCAGCAGUGGGGAAUAUUGCACAAUGGGCGCAAGCCUGAUGCAGCCAUGCCGCGUGUAUGAAGAAGGCCUUCGGGUUGUAAAGUACUUUCAGCGGGGAGGAAGGGAGUAAAGUUAAUACCUUUGCUCAUUGACGUUA